GAUGAAAAAAAAAAAGCUAAGAAAAUAAUCAAUGUAUGAGCAAAGAUUGAAUAACUUAAUUUCGACUAAAACGUGGUGUAUUAAAUAAAAAUUAUGGUGACAAUAUAACCAACAUUAAAAUACACCAUUUAAACCUUUUAUAAAAAAAAACAAAAACUAGGAUUUUUAAAGCAACUUCCUAUUUCUAAGCAAAAUGUCCCACGGAAGUCCUUGGCUCCAUAUCAAGUGUACUAUAUUUCUCUCAUUUCUGUGGCUUCUUCUCGGCCGCGGAACAUGGGGUUGCAGUUGUUGGCCCUAGCAAAGCUCAGCCUUACUGCUACCUCUCACGGCAGCCUGACUCCAGUGGUGUCCACCUUGCUAUUGCCGUUUCUGCUCAAAGUUUCCCUGAGUCUCAGACCCGUACGCCAAUUCUGCACUGACAUAGGACGUGACUUGAGGCUUUUCUUCUUUCAGAUGGCUGAGAUAACCUCUAAUUCUCAUGGGAAUGGUGCAAGGUGGGAGCGAGCUCUUCGGCUAGUUCACGAGAGGUUAACUCGAACAAGACAUGCACGAAUCUUGGACGACGAGGAGGAGAAUUUGCACUUUGUUUCGAUGCUAUCACUUUGAGGAUGUGACUCAGAUUUGGAACCAGAAAAUAUAAUAGAUGAGAUUUUAUAAUUUUUCUUAAUUAUUAUCUAGUACCGUGCAAUUCAUCUUACUGAAUAAGCACUAAAGAAAAUUCCUGUUUUACGUCUAAGGGUUUCUCAUGUUUUAUUGAGUGUGUUUCUUCUCAGAGAUCAUCUUCAUAGGCAGGGAGUAGGACUAGUCUCAGGGUCAUGCCCAGAAGAAGCAGUUUUCGCAGUUCCAGAACGUUAUCAGUGGAUUUCUAAUAAAGGAAAGCUCCUCACUAUGCCAAUUGAUUGAAUGCUUUCGACAAGGAAUCAUAUUAUGCAAUUUUUCUGGUAAUUGUAUCAUUAUUGAUUUUUAUGUCCAAUCUAUGUGAUUGAAUAAAUCCUCCUCUAUUUGUUGCGGGUCAAGGGCUCCUUCCCCCUCUUAUAUCCCUUUCUUUUCUUGAAUGCUUGGAUUUGAACUGUCAACUUCAGUUGCCAGCUAACUAUGGAACUUCUCUGGAGCUUUAUCUUGACCUUUUGAAAACUACAACUGAAAGUCUGAAAGUGAAUGAUUACGUAGGAUCAGCUUGGAAAUUUGUGGCACCGUAUUAGAAUCAUUACCAAUGGCACAUGAUCUCAAAGCUUAUCUAUUGAAGCCCAUCCACCAAGUUGACGAAAAUUAAGUUAUUGUGAAGGUAAAUUUUAAAUAAAUAAGCCCUUGUUUGAUCCCCAUUUUAGAGAAAGAAUGUAUUUUGAAAUAAUAAAUUGACGAAAAAUGUGUGGUUAAAAAUUAAGAAAAAUCUUAGAUUGGCGUGUAAUAUAUUUUAUAUAUUAUUAGAAAAUGUGUAAUUGAAAAAGAGUUUUGAAAAAAUUAAUUUUUAGAAAAAUGGGGCUCUAAAUCUAUGUUUGUUAUUGUGUAUACAAAUAGUCAUCUCUAACUCGAAGUUUAAUUUUUAUUCAGUACUUCAAUCUUUUAAACUUGUAUAAUUGUAUUAAUAUAUGUUCUAAAAAGUAUGAAGCGUGAUUAGAUGAGGAUGUAAAGUUUCAAACUCAUAUGAGCUUAAUUGGUCUAGGCGGAGAUGGAACGUACAGUGUAAAAGAUGACGUUCACGGCUAUACAUGUUUUUUAGAAUACUGAUAUUUAUAUUCUUAGUAUUUAUUAUAAUAUUACAAGGCAGAUACAAGCUUGGCGCUGCUACCACACUGAUGCCUCCUUAAUCAAGGGAGAUUUCUCCCUCUGGUCCACCGGCGACCGGGGGGAGGGGGAGGGAAGAACUCCCUUCCUGAUUUUGAAGCUAACAUAUAGAUAUAAUUACUUCUUUGCUUCAAAGCUAAAAAAUUCACACUCAUGUAUCAAGAAUUUAUCAAACUGAUAGAACAACUUUGCUAUUCAUCACUCUUCAAGUAAGAUAUAAUUUUAUUUUUUCAUUGCAC
rnacentral:lncRNA from 1 species